UCCCUCUCCAGCUCCUGACACCUGAGUCACAUCUCCAGCAAAACUAAAACUGAAGAUCAGAGCUUUUGCUGCUGAAACCAACUGCCCAGUUCCUGAGUGCUCAGAGCCUGAACUGUUGCCAAAGGCUCUGUUCCAGGUGCCCCUGCUCUGGAAUUCGUGGCUUCAUCACCCAAACUUCUGUAUUGAGAAUCCCCUUCAGAGUUCUCCUGCAGGUCACCUCUCCCUUGGCUCUCAAUAACGAGCACUUGGCUGUAAUUCCUAUGAAGGAACCUUCAGGGUCUGGCUGUGGGUGUCCCGUGCUGGAUCCUGCACUCAGGAAUGGUCUGUGCUCCCAGAACUGACUCCGGCAGUGUGGGAGGCACAGGAGGACACAGAGGGAACACGAAGAGAGGAGAGGGAAUGAUCUUUGGCCAGCUGUGGAGCUCAGCUCUGCCUGCAGAGGAGCAGCCAGGCUCAGUCCUGCCCCCAGCUCUGG